rnacentral:rRNA from 1 species
AGUGAACGCUGGCGGUAGGCCUAACACAUGCAAGUCGAACGGCAGCACAGUAAGAGCUUGCUCUUACGGGUGGCGAGUGGCGGACGGGUGAGGAAUACAUCGGAAUCUACUUUUUCGUGGGGGAUAACGUAGGGAAACUUACGCUAAUACCGCAUACGUCCUACGGGUGAAAGCAGGAGAGCUUCAGACCUUGCGUGAUUGUAUGAGCCGAUGUCGGAUUAGCUAGUUGGCGAGGUAAAGGCCCACCAAGGCGACGAUCCGUAGCUGGUCUGAGAGGAUGAUCAGCCACACUGGAACUGAGACACGGUCCAGACUCCUACGGGAGGCAGCAGUGGGGAAUAUUGGACAAUGGGCGCAAGCCUGAUCCAGCCAUACCGCGUGGGUGAAGAAGGCCUUCGGGUUGUAAAGCCCUUUUGUUGGGAAAGAAAAGCAGCAGGUUAAUACCCCGCUGUUCUGACGGUACCCAAAGAAUAAGCACCGGCUAACUUCGUG